rnacentral:rRNA from 1 species
GACGAACGCUGGCGGCGUGCCUAAUACAUGCAAGUUGAGCGCUGAAGGUUGGUACUUGUACCAACUGGAUGAGCAGCGAACGGGUGAGUAACGCGUGGGGAAUCUGCCUUUGAGCGGGGGACAACAUUUGGAAACGAAUGCUAAUACCGCAUAAAAACUUUAAACACAAGUUUUAAGUUUGAAAGAUGCAAUUGCAUCACUCAAAGAUGAUCCCGCGUUGUAUUAGCUAGUUGGUGAGGUAAAGGCUCACCAAGGCGAUGAUACAUAGCCGACCUGAGAGGGUGAUCGGCAACAUUGGGACUGAGACACGGCCCAAACUCCUACGGGAGGCAGCAGUAGGGAAUCUUCGGCAAUGGACGAAAGUCUGAACGAGCAACGCCGCGGGAGUGAAGAAGGUUUUCGGAUCGUAAAACUCUGUUGGUAGAGAAGAACGUUGGUGAGAGUGGAAAGCUCAUCAAGUGACGGUAACUACCCAGAAAGGGACGGCUAACUACGUG